AAGAGUUUGAUCCUGGCUCAGGAUGAACGCUAGCGGCAGGCUUAACACAUGCAAGUCGAGGGGUAACGGGGAAGCUUGCUUCCGCCGACGACCGGCGCACGGGUGCGUAACGCGUAUACAAUCUACCUUGUACUGGGGUAUAGCCUUUAGAAAUGAAGAUUAACCCCCCAUAGUCUCUUAGAGUGGCAUCACUUCUAGAGUAAAGGUUACGGUAUAAGAUGAGUAUGCGUUCUAUUAGUUUGUUGGUGUGGUAACGGCACACCAAGACUACGAUAGAUAGGGGCCCUGAGAGGGGGAUCCCCCACACUGGUACUGAGACACGGACCAGACUCCUACGGGAGGCAGCAGUGAGGAAUAUUGGACAAUGGAGGCAACUCUGAUCCAGCCAUGCCGCGUGCAGGAAGACUGCCCUAUGGGUUGUAAACUGCUUUUAUACAGGAAGAAACACCUCUACGUGUAGAGGCUUGACGGUACUGUAAGAAUAAGGAUCAGCUAACUCCGUGCCAGCAGCCGCGGUAAUACGGAGGAUCCAAGCGUUAUCCGGAAUCAUUGGGUUUAAAGGGUCCGUAGGUGGAUAAUUAAGUCAGAGGUGAAAUCUUGCAGCUCAACUGUAAAAUUGCCUUUGAAACUGGUUAUCUUGAGUUAUUAUGAAGUAGUUAGAAUAUGUAGUGUAGCGGUGAAAUGCAUAGAUAUUACAUAGAAUACCAAUUGCGAAGGCAGAUUACUAAUAAUCAACUGACACUGAUGGACGAAAGCGUGGGUAGCGAACAGGAUUAGAUACCCUGGUAGUCCACGCCGUAAACGAUGGUUACUAGCUGUUUGGACUUCGGUCUGAGUGGCUAAGCGAAAGUGAUAAGUAACCCACCUGGGGAGUACGUUCGCAAGAAUGAAACUCAAAGGAAUUGACGGGGGCCCGCACAAGCGGUGGAGCAUGUGGUUUAAUUCGAUGAUACGCGAGGAACCUUACCAGGGCUUAAAUGUAAGUUGCAUUAGUUAGAGAUAGCUAUUUCUUCGGACCACUUACAAGGUGCUGCAUGGUUGUCGUCAGCUCGUGCCGUGAGGUGUCAGGUUAAGUCCUAUAACGAGCGCAACCCCUGUUGUUAGUUGCCAGCGAGUCAUGUCGGGAACUCUAGCAAGACUGCCAGUGCAAACUGUGAGGAAGGUGGGGAUGACGUCAAAUCAUCACGGCCCUUACGUCCUGGGCUACACACGUGCUACAAUGGUAGGUACAGAGAGCAGCCACUGCGCGAGCAGGAGCGAAUCUAUAAAACCUAUCACAGUUCGGAUCGGAGUCUGCAACUCGACUCCGUGAAGCUGGAAUCGCUAGUAAUCGGAUAUCAGCCAUGAUCCGGUGAAUACGUUCCCGGGCCUUGUACACACCGCCCGUCAAGCCAUGGAAGUUGGAAGUGCCUGAAGUCCGUCACCGUAAGGAGCGGCCUAGGGUAAAGUCGAUAACUAGGGCUAAGUCGUAACAAGGU
rnacentral:rRNA from 1 species